rnacentral:rRNA from 1 species
UACGUAGGGUGCGAGCGUUGUCCGGAAUUACUGGGCGUAAAGAGCUCGUAGGUGGUUUGUCGCGUUGUUCGUGAAAACUCACAGCUUAACUGUGGGCGUGCGGGCGAUACGGGCAGACUGGAGUACUGCAGGGGAGACUGGAAUUCCUGGUGUAGCGGUGGAAUGCGCAGAUAUCAGGAGGAACACCGGUGGCGAAGGCGGGUCUCUGGGCCGAUACUGACGCUGAGAAGCGAAAGCGUGGGGAGCGAACAGG